UACGAAGGGGGCUAGCGUUGCUCGGAAUCACUGGGCGUAAAGGGUGCGUAGGCGGGUUUUUAAGUCAGGGGUGAAAUCCUGGAGCUCAACUCCAGAACUGCCUUUGAUACUGAAGAUCUUGAGUUCGGGAGAGGUGAGUGGAACUGCGAGUGUAGAGGUGAAAUUCGUAGAUAUUCGCAAGAACGCCAGUGGCGAAGGCGGCUCACUGGCCCGAUACUGACGCUGAGGCACGAAAGCGUGGGGAGCAAACAGG
rnacentral:rRNA from 1 species